GUUAAAAACAUAAAAAAUAGAAUUAAGCAAAUAAUAUGCUUUGAUUUUCACAAAAUAACUUACGAAAAUAACACAAUAAAUUAAUCAUUUAAAAAAGUAAAAUAUUCUAAACAAGGGUUCCAAUAAUUACAGUUUGGCUUUCGAAACUGCACUUGCAUGCUAUGAUACGCAUAUAAUAUAUAUUCACACAACACUUGUCACGAAAGUUUCACUUAGGAAAAUCCUGCCUUAAAUUUUGCCUCGAACUCCACAGAUUUCGCCGACGCUAUUGAAAACACGCAGAAAUCUCAACUGAACUGUGGUCGACAAGCGCUGCCGCAAUGUGUUGGUCAGAGGCGACAACAAUAAAUGUGCAACGUUUGAGGAGAGCAAUUUGUGGCGUUAGAAAAACCGAUUAUUUUCGAAAUAUUUUUUGCAAAAAAAAAAAAUUAAAUAAUUUUUUGAAUUUUCUUUUCUGAA